rnacentral:rRNA from 1 species
AUUGAACGCUGGCGGCAGGCUUAACACAUGCAAGUCGAGCGAGCGGCGGACGGGUGAGUAAUGUCUGGGAAACUGACUGAUGGAGGGGGAUAACUACUGGAAACGGUAGCUAAUACCGCAUACCAUCAGAUGUGCCCAGAUGGGAUUAGCUAGUAGGUGGGGUAAUGGCUCACCUAGGCGACGAUCCCUAGCUGGUCUGAGAGGAUGACCAGCCACACUGGAACUGAGCCACGGCCCAGACUCCUACGGGAGGCAGCAGUGGGGAAGAUUGGACAAUGGGCGCAAGCCUGAUGCAGCCAUGCCGCGGGUGUGAAGAAGGCCUUAGGGUUGUAAAGUACUUUCAGCGAGGAGGCGUUACUCGCAGAAGAAGCACCGGCUAACUCCGUGCCAGCAGGCGCGGUAAUUC